CACACGCCUUCCUCCAUAUCCUCGUAAAACCCUCCAGGACAUGCAGACACACACCCAGCCUCAUGCAGAAAGUUCUCUUCACACUCUAGAGGUGGUGAGAAAAAAGAGAACCCUCUCCUUAGGCAUUAAGUAAGGAAUGAAACACUUCGGGACAUGCUGUUUUAGGAAAAUAAUCAAAGACGGGGUGGUGUGAUGCGGCCUGCCAUCAAGCGGAGUCAGUGUUACCAGCCCAAAGCCGCACUUCUUUCCGCUGCCCACUUGCCGUGAUCGAGGUAAUAUCCGUCUCCACAGCUGGUCACACAGCUCUUCGUCUCCUGGUCCAGAUGGUAGCCAGGUUUACAGGAGGAACAUUGAUCACCACGGCUUCCU